rnacentral:misc_RNA from 1 species
GUAACAAGGUUUCCGUAGGUGAACCUGCGGAAGGAUCAUUACCGAGUGAGGGCCCUCUGGGUCCAACCUCCCACCCGUGUCUAUUGUACCUUGUUGCUUCGGCGGGCCCGCCGUUUCGACGGCCGCCGGGGAGGCCUCGCGCCCCCGGGCCCGCGCCCGCCGAAGACCCCAACAUGAACGCUGUUCUGAAAGUAUGCAGUCUGAGUUGAUUAUCAUAAUCAGUUAAAACUUUCAACAACGGAUCUCUUGGUUCCGGCAUCGAUGAAGAACGCAGCGAAAUGCGAUAAAUAAUGUGAAUUGCAGAAUUCAGUGAAUCAUCGAGUCUUUGAACGCACAUUGCGCCCCCUGGUAUUCCGGGGGGCAUGCCUGUCCGAGCGUCAUUGCUGCCCUCAAGCACGGCUUGUGUGUUGGGCCGCCGUCCCCGGUUUCCCCCGGGGACGGGCCCGAAAGGCAGCGGCGGCACCGCGUCCGGUCCUCGAGCGUAUGGGGCUUUGUCACCCGCUCUGUAGGCCCGGCCGGCGCCAGCCGACACCCAACUUUAUUUCUAAGGUUGACCUCGGAUCAGGUAGGGAUACCCGCUGAACUUAAGCAUAUCA